GUUCGAAAAGUGGCGCAAUGGAUAACGCGUCUGCCUACGGAGCAGAAGAUUGCAGGUUCGAAUGAUGGGGAGAGCG